GGAAUCAUGCCACUAAAAAUUCCAAUGCAUACACCAACAAAAUCUCACUAUUUAAUGAAUUCGAACCAGAGAAAAGAUUGAAUAAUUAACUGGAUCUAGGAGACAUAACGCUAACGUCGUCAUCCUAGCACGUAGUAACGCUUUUGUUAUUGAGAUGGGGCCUGUUUUGAGUUACUACUUACCACUAAUACUACUAAACAAGUCUUGGGUUCCCAGCACAGAGAUAUUACAAAAAAGAGUGACAAAUGGGGCUGUUGGAGCAGUAUAUGUUGGCAAAUGUUGUCCCAAGAUGAGUGUGGGCAGCUUUCUAUUUUUAACAAUAAACGCUGCUAGGAAAUUAGUCAUUUUAAAGGAGGUUUGGUAAAGAAGAAUCAGUGGAAUAACAUUUGAGAAAGAGGUAAAAGUUGUUUAACUAAAAUAGUUACAAAAGAAUUGAGGGGGAAUCUCCAGGAGAAAUAUGAUGUCCUUGAUUUUUUUGGAUAUAAAUAUUUUUAUGAGGUACUAAUACUAUUAUUGAAUUUGGGGUUACAAGUUGUGUUCAAAAAGUAGGAUGACUUUUCAAAUUUGGCGGACAACGUACAUUUGUUUCAACUAUAUAAUAUGUUUGGCUUUUUUGUUAGAGGCAUAAUGUUUCGAAGUACUUUGCCAUUGGAAAACAUGGAUCAUAGAAUUUGCUUCAAAUUUUCGAAUUACAAUAAUAAUUACGGUUCCAAAUCAAUAAAUUAGCUAUACUAUACUUGAAAGUCACAAUUUAGAAAUAACCACAUUUUUAGAGCCCAUGCAUUUGAAUUCCGUAACAGUAAGAGUUGGGCUGAGCAGAUAAAUAUGAAAACAUUAAGUAACUUUCUUUUUUGGAUGUUUGCUGAAUUAUAUUUUUUAUAACAGAACUGAAGUCGAGUCCAUAUUUUCUGACUCAAGUUCAAGUCAUGAGUAUUCGUCCCAGGUACAUAAAAAAAAGCCUCUAGUUCCUACUCGAGUACAGAUUUCAAUUCAUAGGGCAGGCAUAUAAUACUCAGUUAAGGACUGGAGACAGUUCAAUACCGUUUCAUCUCAUGUGGACCGAACCAUUUAAGUAAUGGAAAAUGGCCUUUUGUUAGUGUUGGAAUUAUAUGGUUUGGCUUUUAUUAUAAGUAUUACACAUCACACUCCGCGCCAAUGUCAGCACAGUCCGUCGUAUCCAACACGCUAGAAACUCCGGUUUGGGCACCGAAAGAUAUCCUGGAAGUGGUGGCUACAAUGAGGCUGGCCAAAAUGGUAAAGAAGAAGAGACUCUAGAGUUGCAAGAAAAUACGUCCAGUUCCUUAGAUAUCAACCCCCUAGACUAUUUCUGAUCCAUUGAGAGAAAGACUAAAUCAACUCGUCACCCCAAUGUGGACUCCUUCAAAGCUUCCAUCGACGACAAGGCGUGGAUAUAAUACCCUGAAAAGAAUAUGAGGAGGGCGUGAGCCAGCUCUAGGGCCUGAAUCGAGGCUGUCAUCGAGGUCAGUAGAGGUCACAUUGAAUGAUAAAGCUUCUGUUCUACACUUCUUAGUACCCAUCAAAGUUUAUUAAAAAUCCUAAAAAAUAAAAAGUUAAAAUAACUUAAUUCAAAAAUUCCCUGACCACUCAUUUUUGCCUCCCACUUUGUAUUUAAAAAAAAACAUAAAUAUCGGCAAAAUAGUCCAGAUUUACAAAGCUGUGGUAAUAAACAAAAAAGUAAACAAACAAAGCUUUAAACCAAGUAGCGAAACGUUGCCGGUGGAUUGAGGAGAUACAAUGAAUGGUUAUUAUUCUUAAUAGUUAAUUAAUUUCGUUAAUUUCCAAAAUUUUAUGUAAAAUAAGUUAUUUUAGCCCCUUUGAAGAUUGAAUUCUUAAUCUAUAUACCUAGAAAUUUGCUGAACAGUUGUCAAUUUAUAUAGAACCUUAUUUGAAAUUACUCUUCAAAAUAAUGAUUCAUUUUACCGUCCGAGUUGAGAAACUUGUAUCAUGAUUGGUAUAAUUACUUACACAAGAUUAAAGAGCAAGACAGCAUCCUAACUUCACUUAAAGAAACUAUCCAACAUAUGAAAAAAGAGAUAAGUAAUUGAAAGAAUUUAAUGUAUAUUGCGUAUUGUAUAAUGUAUAUUUUUAAUUUUCAACGAAGGAUUUUUGUCUGAAGUUUUUGAUAUGUUAAUAUUAAAGGUUAGAGCUAUGACAGAUAUGGAUAGGGAAGCUUUUUGACUUUAGAUGGAUAAUCAAUUGAAGUUUCUAUACAUUAUGACUGAAGAAAUGUUUCUGGUUUCAACUAUUUGGUGCAAACAAGUUGUUCCGUACAAUUUUACCCCAAAUGUGUAUGGUGGAAAAUAAUUUGGCGUAAUAAUUGCCAACCAAUAAAAAUAUCAAGAGAGGUAGUAGGAAUCGAUGUUGUUAAUAUUUCAACUGAUAUGGGCAAAGUGAGCGGUAUAAAUUAUUCUCUUGAACUCAAUCUGCAUAGCUUUGCGUCUCGGUCUUUCCUAGUGAAGAAAACACACUGAAUAUAUAUCGACUUCACAGAAAUUCCUAGAUUAUAUGAAGUUAUUCUAAUAACAUCAUGUUUAUUUAUACUUAAUCAGUGCAACUUUAUCUGACGAAUUAGAGUAACAUAUAAAAGGAAAUUGUGGAGUUAAAUCUCAAUUUAAUAAUAAAAUCAAUAUUCCAGCUAAUGCAAUUUAAAAAAUUAACUUUUUUACUAACCCUUCCCAUUUGAGGAAAAAUUUGAAAAAUAUUCUUCUUUCUAUAGAUAUCAUUUGAUUGGAGGAGAUUGUUUCCUCAAAAAAUCUUCCCUCCCAUAUUAUUUCUUUAAGUCAUUUUUUUUCAAAUUGUACAAGAUUUUUAAAAAUACUUUUUUUUUAAACCUCUUCGUAAAUUUGAUGAAUCUUAAAUAUAAGUCAACAAAUUUUCAGCUAUAGAUCAAAUGAGUCCUCGUUUCGCAACUUGGUUUAAAAGAUUCAGUCAUAACUAAUUUGAAUUUAACCAAUCAACAUUAAGAAUUAUAAGAUCACGUGGAAUUGAACAAUUUGCAUUGAAACAAGAGUCAUAAACAGCAUUGGCCUAAGGUCACCGCAGUCGUACUUCAAAUAGGCCCCGUCCUUGAUUUCCAAUAAGUAAAAUGACAAAAUGUAUUUCCAAAAAAAUCAAACUUUCGGAUUGGGUUUAAGCCUCACGUAAUCCUUUUCGCAUUAGGCCCUGCUAAGACCGAUCAUGAACAAAAAAAUCAUAAACUUAAAUAACUACCCAAACUUUAUUUACUUUCAAUGUAAAUCCUAGCAUGAAAACUUUUGGGGGGAUUUUAAACACCAUGACGCAAAAAAACAUAUUAUGAUCAAUUAAAAAAAAUUCCUUACAUGAUAUUCCAGAUUAGUAAUGAACAAUUAUAUUACUUUUUAUUCUUUAUAUUUUAGUUGUAAAUUUGAACAUCAUAUUUACAAAGGCCUUGAAUGGAAUAUUUUUUUUAUCUUUCUUUAAUUUUCAAAGUAAAAAAAAACAAAAAGCAAUGAAUCCAUAAAGAAUUUGUCCAUUUAAAAAGAGGUAUUUUUAUCAUUACCUCCUCGGUAUAUCGUCUUCUUCUUUCUUAUGUCCCCCUUUUAUUUAUAUUUUAAUAAUAUCCAAGGUUUAUAUUUUGCAAUAAUCACAUUUUUUACUACAAAACCUCAAUCAAAUAGAGAAUGAAUAAAAAAAUUUGUCGUAUUUGUACAAUAAACAUGAACCUUGGAUAUCCUUCCAAACAACGUCAUUGUUUAUUUAUCAAUAAUCUUAAAAGUAGAACGUAUUUAAAGUUUAAUAAAGAUUUGCAAUCAAUGUACCAAA
rnacentral:lncRNA from 1 species